rnacentral:rRNA from 1 species
UACGUAGGGGGCAAGCGUUGUCCGGAUUUAUUGGGCGUAAAGAGCGUGUAGGCGGCCUGACAGGUCUGCUGUGAAAACUCGAGGCUCAACCUCGAGAUGUCGGCGGAAACCGUCUGGCUAGAGUCCGGAAGAGGAGAGUGGAAUUCCCGGUGUAGUGGUGAUAUGCGUAGAUAUCGGGAGGAACACCUGUGGCGAAGGCGGCUUUCUGGGCCUUGCCUGACGCUGAGACGCGAAAGCGUGGGGAGCGAACCGG